rfam:Pelodiscus sinensis unplaced genomic scaffold scaffold773, whole genome shotgun sequence.
ACUGGAGGACUAAGAAGGUGGAGUCUGUGAAGCGGGGCUCUGCUGAUACCACCCUCCUAGAGAAAAGCAAUGGAGAGAGCAGUCUUACUUACAGACGAGCAGAGGACUGACUGUACCAUCCAACAUUU